rnacentral:rRNA from 1 species
UGGGGAAUUUUACGCAAUGGGGGAAACCCUGACGUAGCGACACCGCGUGAGCGAAGAAGCCCUUUGGGGUGUAAAGCUCUGUCAACAGGAACGAAACAAAUGACGGUACCUGUGGAGGAAGCAUCGGCUAACUACGUGCCAGCAGCCGCGGUAAGACGUAGGAUGCAAGCGUUGUCCGGAUUUAUUGGGCGUAAAGAGUUCGUAGGCGGUUUGUUAAGUCUGAUGUUAAAGACCGGGGCUCAACCUCGGAAAUGCAUUGGAUACUGGCAGACUGGAGUGCAGUAGAGGCUAGUGGAAUUCCCAGUGUAGCGGUGAAAUGCGUAGAUAUUGGGAAGAACACCGGUGGCGUAGGCGACUAGCUGGGCUGUAACUGACGCUGAGGAACGAAAGCCAGGGGAGCAAAUGGGAUUAGAUACCCCAGUAGUCCUGGCCGUAAACGAUGGAUACUAGGCGUAGUGGGUAUCGACCCCUGCUGUGCCGCAGCUAACGCGAUAAGUAUCCCGCCUGAGUAGUACGGCCGCAAGGUUGAAACUCAAAUGAAUUGAC